rnacentral:lncRNA from 12 species
UGUCAAGAUAAUAACUGCCAGGGGACUGGGAGGAGAAUGGCGUCGGCUGGGGCCUGAUAAACAGUCUGCUUGUGGGGGACACCAGGUGACCAACAGAGCAAACCCCAAACCUUCCGAUCCAUGCCCAAGCAUCUGGGAGUCCAGAGGAUUUUUGCAGAAAACAUGAAGCAUCAAUAUUUUACAGUGACGCUGUGCGGUGGCUUGGAAGUCUGACUUCAGGAGAAGAGCUGACCAUCUGCCAAGGCCUGCGCACUCACAGAUGACUAAUGUUUUCCCUGGAGGACUGUGGUUCCCUGUGUUUCUGUUGCUGUCUUUUCGAUGUCACAAAGCAAGGUUGAUAAACACAUUCAAGUCACAAUUAAAAAACAUUUUCACUGACCAGUUGCCACUGAUGAUAUUAUCAGACAGCUUCAGUGGUUGUUGUAACAACGUGUUUAAUGGUGUUGAUGUACAGGAAAGAUGAAGCUGCCCUUUGUCUGGUCCUUCCCUGGCUCUGUGAUUCUUUAAUGACAUUUCCAGGUACCAGGAGUCUUGUAAGGAAAUGCUAUUCGGCAUUAAUUGGGAAGAACUCUGGGAUUUUCAGGCUAAGCCCACAGGCUGGAAGAUCUAUCUAAAUUGGAACUCACUGAGCAAGCUGAAAGGUGCACCCGCUAAGUGAACCAGAAAUACCAAGGCCAGGUCUAAAUAGACUACCAGAACUCGCUUGGACCAGGAUCUGGAAAAGAAGCAGCAGAAGAGGCACCUAUAUGAGAUCAAUACAAGUUUUAUCGAAAUUCCUGGAAACAAAUCAAGGCCACAGUAUGAAGGUGUUCUCUGGGCUUGUUCUCAGGCCAUUUCCACCAAGUCUCAUCUCUGACCUGCACAAAAUCCUUCCUCUGCAUGACCACCAGCUGGAGGUAGAUCUGGAAAACUCUUCUCUGCACAGCUGCAGGUGUCCCUGGAAGUUCUGGAAGGAGCAAAGAAUAAAGUGCGGUGGAGUAGUUACCCCCCGACCAAAUACUCCAGUACGUUUCAUUCAAUGCUCCUUUUAUCUACUGAGACACAGACCUGGGUACUGUGGGGUGAUCCAAAGAGGAGACAAGACUGGAUUUCCAGAAGUAGUGGGACCAAUAAUAGUGUCUAUUACAUCCCAACUUUUAAAUAUUUUUGCACUGCAGGGGCAUUUGGUGGUUCACUUGGUUAAAC